GUCUACGGCCAUACCACCCUGAACGCGCCCGAUCUCGUCUGAUCUCGGAAGCUAAGCAGGGUCGGGCCUGGUUAGUACUUGGAUGGGAGAAAUAGCCUUUCUGAUUCUGCGAGGAAGUAGUCC
rnacentral:rRNA from 1 species